rnacentral:lncRNA from 1 species
AUCCACUCAGCGGCACAGACUCCCGAAAGUGUCGCUCCAGUCCGAGUUGGCUCCUGUCCCUUGUCCACAUAGACCGUCUCCCCGCUCCCCCAAUAUGGCACAAGGUGCCUAGGCCGUGUGGGGCGUCGGCAGGUAUCACGGGUGGGGUCCAUUGUGUGAGGACUAACAUCGCGGCCUUUCCCCAGACCAGCCACCGGGGACUCCAGAGAGGCCUCGGCCCAGCUCCCGGAAAGGGUCUCCCAGCCAGGCCUUCUAGCGGCCCAAAGCGGAUGGAAACUUGACCCAGAAUGGACAAGUGAUUCUCCAGGUCCAGGACUAAAACAUGGGCCUCUCAACAUCUCAGCAGGCAGGUGGAAGAGAUGGAGCAAACUCACUUGGAGCAAAGAUGGGCAGGAGGGGAACAGCGAAGCCCAGGCCAACGGCACCACAGGGCCCCUGGCAGAACAUGGACAGAGACAGUGUGAUUCCAGGGCUCUGUUCCCUUGCUGCUGCCUCCAUGGGCCCCGUACAUGUGCUCAUGAUUCUUAGACACAAACAAAGCUCCCAACACAGUGAUGGAAAUGCAGCUGCCAAGGGGGAUUGCCAAGGAAACCAUCUUUGAAAGGCUCAUUAUUCUUAUGAAGAAUCUGCAGGAGACAGGAGUUCUCAAAACAACUCUCGCUCCGCCUCUAUCCUCAACCGGACUCUGUGGGAGUGUCUCUUUUAACGAGAGUAUGGAGAGUCAUUGAACGUUUCAGAGCAAGCGAGGGACAGAGGAGGAGGCUGCUGUUUCAGGCGAUGCACAUCUCUGCAACAGGAAUCCUACAGAUAGUCCCAAGUGCUGGACAAGGAAUGGGUUUUAGGGUCACCCAAACCUGGGUUCACAUCCUGGCUCACCACUUACAAGUUGUGUGACUUUGUUCCUUAAUCACCGAGUUCUGAUUUGUUUAUCUGUAAAUGGGAGUGACACCUGCAGACUCUAACCUUACUGUGAGGAUUAAAUGAGACGAAGUGUGUAAAGGCCAAGUAAAGGUUCAUUCCCUCCCCCUAGGCUGUGGCAACUCUGCAUUUUACAAAAGUCGAAUCAAGAUCUGGGGCCAGCCCCUAGUUCAGGUCUUUCCCUGCCACUCUGGGUUCCCUCCAGGCAGACAUGUUCUUCUGAAAUACAGGGAAAUGGUUGCACUUAGGUGGGUAAGUGGCUAGGUGGUUAUGUUUUCUUUGUGGUUAUUUACCUAUUUAUUUUUGCCAAUGUUAAAUACUUUUUCUAGAUUUGGCCUGCUAGGGAGAACUAAAUAAAUUUCCAAUUGUAUGAGAAAUAUUUUUAAAGGCAUUCUCGAUUGUUUUAGCACCAAGAAGGCAAAGUCAAAGGCACAGCAGAUUGUCCCAGUGGGCUGCCAGGAAUCUAAUAAUUCUGCUAAUGACCCUUUUUAAAAUGUAAAGUGUUGGACUAAGGCAGCGCUCAAUUCUUGUCUAACACUAUGCUCCUGGGAACUUGCAAAUCAUCAUUGUCUUCCCCCAACCCCCAUCUAAAGCAAAGGAUCGGAUCUUGAGCAAUUAAUCAAAAUUGGUUUCCUGCAUCCAGAGGGGAUCACUCCAAAUGAAUGUGGAAUUGCAGAGAUGGAUCUGCACCAGCUGAUUUAUAGGGUGUGCUUAGAGAGCAGGGGCCAGAUGAAAGGCUGGGGGACGGGAAGAGGCAGCAAGAGCCAACACUAGAUGGCGUUAAUCUCAGGCCAUUGUGUGGCAGGAGUGGAUUCACCUUGUGUAGCUCCAGCUGCCAUACUGUUAGGGACCAGGGGCAGUAAUUAACUGGGAAGCUGUGGUCAGCAAAACUACCCAUAACAUGAGCUAUUGGCGAGGGCAUUGCACACUCCAGUUUGCAGAGGACUUUUGCAUGCCUCCCCAUGGGGCCCUCACCGCAGGCCUGGGAAUCAGGUAUCCCUUGCUUUCAGAGCUCUUGCCACCUGCUAUCCUGAACUCUGAAAACAAACAGGUCGAAAUAAAUAAAAUUAUCCCUUGCUGGCCAAAUUCUUGCUUCCUGAAUUGGGAACCAAAUAUAUUCGAAGAGUGAUCGAUAUUUGUAUUAUUGUUAUCUAUUGGAGGCUUAAAGAAAUUAAGAGACUCAGUUAAGGUCACACAGCUAGUAAAUAGUAGAGCUUGGAUUUAGA